UACACUCCUGCGGGAGGCAGCAGUGGGGAAUUUUGGACAAUGGGCGUAAGCCUGAUCCAGCAAUGCCGCGUGAGUGAAGAAGGCCUUCGGGUUGUAAAGCUCUUUUGUCAGGGAAGAAACGGUGAAAGCUAAUAUCUUUUGCUAAUGACGGUACCUGAAGAAUAAGCACCGGCUAACUACGUGCCAGCAGCCGCGGUAAUACGUAGGGUGCAAGCGUUAAUCGGAAUUACUGGGCGUAAAGCGUGCGCAGGCGGUUUUGUAAGUCUGAUGUGAAAUCCCCGGGCUCAACCUGGGAAUUGCAUUGGAGACUGCAAGGCUAGAAUCUGGCAGAGGGGGGUAGAAUUCCACGUGUAGCAGUGAAAUGCGUAGAUAUGUGGAGGAACACCGAUGGCGAAGGCAGCCCCCUGGGUCAAGAUUGACGCUCAUGCACGAAAGCGUGGGGAGCAAACAGGAUUAGAUACCCGUGUAGUCCC
rnacentral:rRNA from 1 species